rnacentral:rRNA from 1 species
AACGAACGCUGGCGGCAGGCUUAACACAUGCAAGUCGAACAAUGUAGCAAUACAUAUUGGCGCACGGGUGAGUGACGCGUGGGAACGUGCCUUUUAGUUUGGAAUAACACCGGGAAACUGGUGCUAAUGCCAAAUACGCCCUUCGGGGAAAGAUUUAUCGCUAAAAGAUCGGCCCGCGUCCGAUUAGCUAGUUGGUGGGGUAAUGGCCUACCAAGGCUCCGAUCUGUAGAUGUUCUGAGAGGAAGAUCAGCCACACUGGGACUAGGACACGGUCCAGACUCCGACGGGAGGCAGCAGUGGGGAGUAUUGGACAAUGGGGGAAACCCUGAUCCAGCCAUGCCGCGUGAGGGAUGAAGGCCUUAGGGUUGUAAAGCGCUUUUACCAGGGAAGAUGAUGACGGUACCUGGAGAAUAAGCACCGGCUAACUUCGUGCCAGCCGCCGCGGUAA